GGGGAUGCCAAUUUAUCAUUUGUUGCACCUGCUAUGAUGAGGGAAGAGUAAAUUAUUCCUGUUCCAGCACAAACUGUAAAAGUGAGGAAUUUGAAAUUGAAGUAUGGCUUGUGGAACCUGAAUAUUCUGACUUAUGGAAUGACUUCUGUGCCUGAAUGGUACUUAGCAUGCACAAUGUUUUUUUUUUCCUCCUCUCAUUAUUGUUGUUGUGAUAUUAUAUUUUUCUCUUAGCAACCAUCUGCAGAUGUCGCAUGGGAGCAGUGGGGCCAAGUGCACCCAUUGUCGUUUGAAAAUCCUUUGAGAGUUUUUGUAUUUACAAAUUUAUCCUCACUCCAUUGCUUCUUUUUAGCUACCACUUAACUAAAUGUUAAAGGUCACAAUUGUAAUUUUAUAUAAACUUCUAAGUUCCUCUGUUACGAACAUCAUAAAGAAUUGACUAGGCAAUUGUAUGAGAGAUGAAUGGUUGAAUGAUUGUAUGGUUACUUGUAUAGAAAAAAAAGUGUUUGAUAGUAUAGAUAAUGGGAAAUUAUAUAGCGAUUUCAACAUAUGAAAACAAAUUGUGAAUAAUUGAAUUUUUAUAAUAAAUUUUUGUGAUUUAUCCUUUUAUUUAUACGUGUGUAUAUGUAUAUGUGCUGUGCAUAUUGCCAUUGACCAAAUUUUCUGGAUCCGCCACUGUUAGCGGCUACAUAAUAGGCUACAUAAUUGCUGCUUUAUGUUAUAGAGUGCAUGCUAUCAUUCAUUUCUUACUGUAGUCAUCUUGGUGUUCUCAGUUCUGCAUUAUAUUUUCCUGUUUUGUUUUGAUAUUUCUCACGUGAGUUUCACCUGAUAUAUUUCAUAGGU
rnacentral:misc_RNA from 1 species